GACGAACGCUGGCGGCGUGCUUAACACAUGCAAGUCGAACGGAAAGGCCCUGCUUUUGUGGGGUGCUCGAGUGGCGAACGGGUGAGUAACACGUGAGUAACCUGCCCUUGACUUUGGGAUAACUUCAGGAAACUGGGGCUAAUACCGGAUAGGAGCUCCUGCUGCAUGGUGGGGGUUGGAAAGUUUCGGCGGUUGGGGAUGGACUCGCGGCUUAUCAGCUUGUUGGUGGGGUAGUGGCUUACCAAGGCUUUGACGGGUAGCCGGCCUGAGAGGGUGACCGGCCACAUGGGGACUGAGAUACGGCCCAGACUCCUACGGGAGGCAGCAGUGGGGAAUAUUGCACAUGGGGCGGAAGCGUGAUGCAGCACCGCGGCGUGCGGGAUGACGGCCUUCGGGUUGAAAACCGCUUUCGCCUGUGACGAAGCGUGAGUGGCGGUAAUGGGUAAAGAAGCACCGGCUAACUACG
rnacentral:rRNA from 1 species